GUGGUUUCAGUGCACUGUGGAAGUCUCACUACACCUCCAGAAGUACCUCUCUACUCAAGGUACAGAGUGCAACUUCAGAGAGCAGGACAUCUCUGUUUCCUUGGAGCUUUCCUGAAGCUCAGCUAGGGUAGUGUGGUACUACUGAAGAUGUCAGUCCUCUGAGCUGGAGACUUCUGACCUUGCCUGUCUUAAG